rnacentral:misc_RNA from 1 species
UACAGAGGUCCCAAGCGUUAUUCGGAAUCACUGGGCUUAAAGAGUCCGUAGGCGGCUCGAUAGGUGAGGUGUGAAAUCCCACGGCUCAACCGUGGAAUUGCGCUUCAAACCAUCGAGCUAGAGGGAGAUAGAGGAGAGCGGAACUGAUGGUGGAGCGGUGAAAUGCGUUGAUAUCAUCAGGAACACCGGUGGCGAAAGCGGCUCUCUGGGUCUCUUCUGACGCUGAGGGACGAAAGCUAGGGGAGCGAACGGG